AGACACCCUUCUGGGGCAAGACUUGCUUCAGCGGGGCUUUGGUGCUCACUGAGUCUGCCCCCUGAGUGUGUCCCU
rnacentral:pre_miRNA from 1 species